GCUGAGAAAACUAGAUAGUCAUGUAUAGAAGAAUGAAAAAAACCUAGAAAAAACUCUUCUGGACAUUGUCCUAGGCAAAGGAUUUAUGACAAAGACCUCAAAUGCAAAUGCAACAAA